AUWCGUAGGGUGCAAGCGUUAUCCGGAAUUAUUGGGCGUAAAGGGCUCGUAGGCGGUUCGUCGCGUCCGGUGUGAAAGUCCAUCGCUUAACGGUGGAUCUGCGCCGGGUACGGGCGGGCUGGAGUGCGGUAGGGGAGACUGGAAUUCCCGGUGUAACGGUGGAAUGUGUAGAUAUCGGGAAGAACACCAAUGGCGAAGGCAGGUCUCUGGGCCGUUACUGACGCUGAGGAGCGAAAGCGUGRGGAGCGAACAGGAUUAGAUACCCUGGUAGUCCACGCCGUAAACGGUGGACGCUGGAUGUGGGGCCCGUUCCACGGGUUCCGUGUCGGAGCUAACGCGUUAAGCAUCCCGCCUGGGGAGUACGGCCGCAAGGCUAAAACUCAAAGAAAUUGACGGGGGCCCGCACAAGCGGCGGAGCAUGCGGAUUAAUUCGAUGCAACGCGAAGAACCUUACCUGGGCUUGACAUGUUCCCGACCGCGGCAGAGAUGUCGUUUCCCUUCGGGGCGGGUUCACAGGUGGUGCAUGGUCGUCGUCAGCUCGUGUCGUGAGAUGUUGGGUUAAGUCCCGCAACGAGCGCAACCCUCGCCCUGUGUUGCCAGCACGUCAUGGUGGGAACUCACGGGGGACCGCCGGGGUCAACUCGGAGGAAGGUGGGGAUGACGUCAGAUCAUCAUGCCCCUUACGUCCAGGGCUUCACGCAUGCUACAAUGGCCGGUACAACGGGAUGCGACACGGCGACGUGGAGCGGAUCCCUGAAAACCGGUCUCAGUUCGGAUUGGAGUCUGCAACCCGACUCCAUGAAGGCGGAGUCGCUAGUAAUCGCGGAUCAGCAACGCCGCGGUGAAUGCGUUCCCGGGCCUUGUACACACCGCCCGUCAAGUCAUGAAAGUGGGUAGCACCCGAAGCCGGUGGCCUAACCCUUUGUGGAUGGAGCCGUCUAAGGUGAGACUCGUGAUUGGGACU
rnacentral:rRNA from 1 species